GAUGAAGAACGUAGCGAAAUGCGAUAAGUAAUGUGAAUUGCAGAAUUCAGUGAAUCAUCGAAUCUUUGAACGCACCUUGCACUCCUUGGUAUUCCGAGGAGUACGCCUGUUCGAGUGUUAUGAAGCUCUCAAAACGCAAUUGGCUUAAAACCUGAUUGUUGUUUUGGAUUUGAACUUUGCCGUGUUAUAACGGCUGGUUUUAAAAGUAUUAGCUGGUACUAGAACGAAUUGGUUCUACUCAACGUGAUAAUUAUCUGAUCGUUGAGGACAUUCCUUUCACGAGGAAUGGCCAUAGUAAAUUCAAUGGACUGCUUCUAAUCUGGCUUUAAUUCUUUAUUGGAUUAACCACUUUUCAAAUCUGACCUCGAAUCAGGUGGGACUACCCGCUGAACUUAAGCAUAUCAAUAAGCGAGGA
rnacentral:misc_RNA from 1 species